rnacentral:rRNA from 1 species
GACGAACGCUGGCGGCGUGCUUAACACAUGCAAGUCGAACGGUGAAGCGCCUUCCUUUUUGGUGGGUGUGGAUGAGUGGCGAACGGGUGAGUAACACGAGAGUAACCUGCCCCCUUCUUCUGGAUAACCGCAUGAAAGUGUGGCUAAUACGGGAUAUUCUGGGUCUGUCGCAUGAUGGGUCUGGGAAAGAUAUUGUUUCGGUGGGGGAUGGGCUCGCGGCCUAUCAGCUUGUUGGUGGGGUGAUGGCCUACCAAGGCGGUGACGGGUAGCCGGCCUGAGAGGGUGGACGGUCACACUGGGACUGAGACACGGCCCAGACUCCUACGGGAGGCAGCAGUGGGGAAUAUGGCACAAUGGGCGCAAGCCUGAUGCAGCGACGCCGCGUGCGGGAUGGAGGCCUGCGGGUUGUGAACCUCUUUCGCCAGUGAAGCAGGCCUGCCUCGUUUGUGGGUGGGUUGACGGUAGCUGGAUAAGAAGCGCCGGCUAACUACGUG